AAAUGCAUAGCUGACUGCUAGAGAGCAAUCUUUUGUACAGUCGGCGACAUCUGCCCAGCAUAGGUAUCCGAAAACUUGUUUCAACGGGUAUAAGGACCUAUUAGCGGCGGAGGUAACUGUGACCUUCUUAAGCAAGCAUCACCUUGCCAAUUGAUUGUUGGCUUGCGAACGAUGUAAUGAGGUUCCCACUGUCCCUGCUUGGAAUCCCGCGAAACUAUUAUUCUGGUGCAAAGACCAGAGACCCUCACUGGGUCAAAAAGACCCCAGGAACUUUACUGCAGUCUCUUAUUGUGGUAUUAAAACGAUAGACAUAGCGUAGGUAGGAGACGUUAUGCCUGCCAUUUCGGUGGCAGGAUAGUCGAAAGUGUAACACUACCUCUAUUGUUUUAUAUCGCUUACCGUAUGGAACAGUAGGAGAUGGGCAGCUUUGCUGGGGUGGCAAUCCCACGAAAAGAUAACAUGGGAGCCCAAAGGUCAUCUUAGGUGGUAUAGGAAUCCACCGUCAAGUGCAACGGCAAAAGAUGGCUUGACUGUGCACUGCAUAGCAACGUGCGCAGGGACGAAAGUCUGGCGUAGCGAACACGAAUGAUCUCUUUUUGAGUUCUUCGUAUGACAAAAAAGUUACCCUGGGCGUAAGAGAGUUGUUGCGGAUGAUAGCUCAUAUUGACUUCGCAGCUUGCUCCACAGUCUUUGGCUCUCCCCAUCCUGGUUGUGCAUAGGCAACCAAGGGUACAGGUGUCCACUGGUUAAAGGGGACCGUGAGCUGAGUUUAGGCCGCCGCGAGGCAGGCCGGUAUUUAACUAGUGAGGGUGCUCGAUACCUGAGCAGAAGACUCGAUUAGUACGAAAGGAACAACGAGUCGGCGCCUCUAGUUAGCGGUUAUCUGACAAGGUAAGCCGCGUAGCCACGCGCCAAGGGAUAAGAGCUGAAAGCAUCUAAGCUCGAAACCCACCGCAAAAAUAGGUAUCGUUGAGGCUGGGGAAAAAGACCCCGUUGAUAGAAUCGACGUGUAAGAAUCAAGGCGAAAGCCGAGGUUUUCAGCGUACGAUUACUAAUCAGCCAAAAUUAUCGCAAU
rnacentral:rRNA from 1 species